rnacentral:rRNA from 1 species
UACGUAGGGUGCGAGCGUUAAUCGGAAUUACUGGGCGUAAAGCGUGCGCAGGCGGUUGUGCAAGCCCGGUGUGAAAUCCCCGGGCUUAACCUGGGAACUGCACUUGUGACUGCACGGCUAGAGUACGGUAGAGGGGGAUGGAAUUCCGCGUGUAGCAGUGAAAUGCGUAGAUAUGCGGAGGAACACCAAUGGCGAAGGCAAUCCCCUGGACCUGUACUGACGCUCAUGCACGAAAGCGUGGGGAUCAAACAGG